AUUGAACGCUGGCGGCAUGCCUUACACAUGCAAGUCGAACGGUAACAGGUCUUCGGAUGCUGACGAGUGGCGAACGGGUGAGUAAUACAUCGGAACGUGCCUAGUAGUGGGGGAUAACUACUCGAAAGAGUGGCUAAUACCGCAUGAGAUCUACGGAUGAAAGCAGGGGAUCGCAGGACCUUGUGCUACUAGAGCGGCCGAUGGCAGAUUAGGUAGUUGGUGGGAUAAAAGCUGACCAAGCCGACGAUCUGUAGCUGGUCUGAGAGGACGAUCAGCCACACUGGGACUGAGACACAGCCCAGACUCCUACGGGAGGCAGCAGUGGGGAAUUUUGGACAAUGGGCGAAAGCCUGAUACAUCAAUGCCGCGUGCAGGAUGAAGGCCUUCGGGUUGUAAACUGCUUUUGUACGGAACGAAAAGCCCCGGGUUAAUACCCUGGGGUCAUGACGGUACCGUAAGAAUAAGCACCGGCUAACUACGUGCCAGCCGCCGCCGUAA
rnacentral:rRNA from 1 species